rnacentral:rRNA from 1 species
UAGGGAAUCUUGCGCAAUGGGCGAAAGCCUGACGCAGCCAUGCCGCGUGAAUGAUGAAGGUCUUAGGAUUGUAAAAUUCUUUCACCGGGGAAGAUAAUGACGGUACCCGGAGAAGAAGCCCCGGCUAACUUCGUGCCAGCAGCCGCGGUAAUACGAAGGGGGCUAGCGUUGCUCGGAAUUACUGGGCGUAAAGGGCGCGUAGGCGGACAGUUUAGUCAGAGGUGAAAGCCCAGGGCUCAACCUUGGAAAUGCCUUUGAUACUGGCUGUCUUGAGUUCGGGAGAGGUGAGUGGAAUGCCGAGUGUAGAGGUGAAAUUCGUAGAUAUUCGGCGGAACACCAGUGGCGAAGGCGACUCACUGGCCCGAUACUGACGCUGAGGCGCAAAGCGUGGGGAGCAAACAGGAUUAGAUACCCUGGUAGUCCACGCCGUAAAACGAUGAGUGCUAGUUGUCGGCAUGCAUGCAUGUCGGUGACGCAGCUAACGCAUUAAGCACUCCGCCUGGGGAGUACGGUCGCAAGAUUAAAAACUCAAAUGAAAUUGACGGGGGUCAUAGCUGUUUCCUG